rnacentral:rRNA from 1 species
AAUAUUGGACAAUGGGCGAAAGCCUGAUCCAGCCAUGCCGCGUGUGUGAAGAAGGNCUNNGGAUUNUNAAGCACUUUAAGUUGNNNNNAAGGGCUGUAGGUUAAUACCCUGCAAUUUUGACGUUACCAACAGAAUAAGCACCGGCUAACUUCGUGCCAGUAGCCGCGGUAAUACGAAGGGUGCAAGCGUUAAUCGGAAUUACUGGGCGUAAAGCGAGAGUAGGUUGUUUUACAAGUUGGAAGUGAAAGCCCCGGGCUCAACCUGAGAACUGCUUUCAAAACUGGCAAGCUAGAGUAUGGCAGAGGGUGGUAGAAUUUCCUGUGUAGCGGUGAAAUGCGUAGAUAUAAGAAGGAACAUCAGUGGAGAAGGCGACCACCUGGACUAAUACUGACACUGAGGUGCGAAAGCGUGGGGAGCAAAC